CGGGGACGGGGCCGAGGCGGAGUGGGCAGGAUUGCGGGAGGCUGGGGGUGGGGCGCGGAGAAGGCGAUGGCACCCCACUCCAGUACUCUUGCCGGGAAAACCCCAUGGACGGAGGAGCCUGAGCUGAACCAAGAGCAGCAGCAGCUGCUGGCCAUGUCCAUGGCAAAAGUCUUCCUUCAACAGGCAGAGUUGGUGAGGAUCUGAGGAUUGCACAGUGGAUGUCAGGGAUGACAACAAAGGUGGUGACCAUGCUGGAACAAAUUCUUCCAGUAGGAGGCAGUGCUCUUCUGUCUUCACUUCAAGCUGCCCAGGGGCUUUUAGGGUGAGGAGCUGAAGGUCACCCAGCCCUGGUUGAACUCUGCAACCUUGACAUACAAAGGGAUGGACCCCACCCCACUAUACCCAGGAGCCCAGGGCCUCGUCACCGCUCUGUGUCUUCCGUGCCAUCCUUGCUAUCUUUCAGGUGUGGCCAACAACACCUGGCUUUUCCCAGUUGGAACAGGGGAAAACAGAGUAGGGCUUGGCACAGAUCUGAGGAAGCUGGAGAAAUGGAGAGGAGCUUCGUCUCCAAGUUUUCCUGGAGGCAGAGUUUCAAAGGCUCCACCUGGGACUCAGUCUCUUUAACCAGGCUCUGGAGACUCUGUCCCGUCUGGAGAGCCUUGGAAUCACAACUGAGGAGGAAAGUUUCUCUUUCAUCAGCCAAGGAAUGGAUGGAGUUCCAGCCCUUGAUGCAGCUGCAUCUUCAGCCUGACAGUUAGGGAACCUGGCAGCAGAGGGCUGGGGGCAGCGAGGGCUGCGAGGGCACCUUAAAGUUGGACAUUGAGUUUGAUGCGUUUCUUCAGUUCUUCAGCAUAACUUUGAUUUGAGUAAGUAUCACAGGCCAUUGACCAAUGUCUGCUCAGCCAGAAUUUGGGAGAUGUUUUGGGCUCCAAAGCUGAUUUGGGAAUUUGGGAAGAAAACUUAAAGGUUUUUAAGGGAUAAGAAAAGAGUCUGGGGUUUUAUUUCAUUCAUCUCACAAUCUGAAAUCUGCACCCCAAAACUUCCAACCUCCCAGGAGAAAUAUAAAACACGAUGCCUUAGGGGCACAUUUUUUUCUGUUCCUCCAUCACUCUGGCCUGCCUUCAUCCCUAGCUAGUCCACCUCCUUUUACUCAGCAAAGGUCUAGAAGCAUGUCUGGGCAGGGGGUCACUUCCCCUAAAUGCUCCAGCCUUCCCAAAUCCUCCUCCUUUUGCCUUCAAUUUGGAGAAGGGGGUAGCAGAGGAUAAGAUGGUUAGAUAGCAUCACAGACUUAAUGGAUAUCAAUUUGAGCAGACUCUGGGAAUAAUGGAGGACAGAGGAUCCUGGCAAGCUAUACAAUACAUGGGCUCUGGCCUACAUAUGUGUGCUAAGUGGCUUCAGUCAUGUGCAACUCUUUGCAACCCUAUGGACUGUAGCUCACCAGGCUCCUCUGUCCAUGGAAUUCUCCACGCAAGAAUACUGUAGUGGGUUGCCAUUUCUUCCUCCAGGGGAUCUUCCCAGGAACCUGUGUCUCAUAUCUCCUGCAUUGGCAGAUAUAUUCUUUAUCACUAGCGCCACCUGGGAAGUCAUCUGGUCUACCUACACAUUGCAUAAAUGAAGAAAGUGGAUAAGGAAGUAAUGCCCUGUCCCAAUGUCUGUAUCUGUCUGCAGGGUUUGCAGUGCACUCUGUGGCUCAGGUUUUCAGAGAACAGGUGGCUGGGGCUUCCUCCCCUAAGUGGAUUCCCUUUCCUGAUCCCCUUGGCUGAUCCUCCAUCUCCUAGCAGAAACACACAAAUCA